rnacentral:misc_RNA from 1 species
AGCAGCCGCGGUAAUUCCAGCUCCAAUAGCGUAUAUUAAAGUUGUUGCAGUUAAAAGCUCGUAGUUGAAUUUCGGGAUCAAAGGAUCGGUCAUGCCUUGGUAUGUACUGGUUUUAUUGGUUCUCACCUUCUAAAGAACCAUAAUGUCAUUCAUUUGAUGUUAUGGGGAAUUAGGACUGUUACCUUGAAAAAUUAGAGUGUUUAAAGCAGGCUUACGCUUGAAUACAUUAGCAUGGAAUAAUGAAAUAGGACAUCAGAUUCUAUUUUGUUGGUUUCUAGGAUCGAUGUAAUGAUUAAUAGGGAUAGUUGGGGGCAUUAGUAUUCAAUUGUCAGAGGUGAAAUUCUUGGAUUUUAUUGAAGACUAACUACUGCGAAAGCAUUUGCCAAGGAUGUUUUCAUUAAUCAAGAACGAAAGUUAGGGAUCGAAGACGAUCAGAUACCGUCGUAGUCUUAACCAUAAACUAUGCCGACUAGGGACCGGAUGAUGUUAAUUUUAUAAUGACUCAUUCGGCUACCG